rnacentral:rRNA from 1 species
CCUGGCUCAGGAUGAACGCUAGCGGCAGGCUUAAUACAUGCAAGUCGUGGGGCAGCAGGUUUGUAGCAAUACAGAUGCUGGCGACCGGCAAACGGGUGCGGAACACGUACAGAACCUUCCUUUGAGCGGGGAAUAGCCCAGAGAAAUUUGGAUUAAUACCCCAUAGUAUAAUGAAGUGGCAUCACUUUAUUAUUAAAGAUUUAUCACUCGAAGAUGGCUGUGCGGCUGAUUAGGUAGUUGGCGGGGUAAAGGCCCACCAAGCCUGCGAUCAGUAACUGGUGUGAGAGCACGACCAGUCACACGGGCACUGAGACACGGGCCCGACUCCUACGGGAGGCAGCAGUAAGGAAUAUUGGUCAAUGGAGGCAACUCUGAACCAGCCAUGCCGCGUGGAGGAUGAAGGUCCUCUGGAUUGUAAACUUCUUUUAUAUGGGACGAAAAAAGGCUUUCUAAGUCGUCUGACGGUACCAUAUGAAUAAGCACCGGCUAACUCCGUG